CACACCUCAGUCAGCAUCCCUCACAUCUAUCAUUAAGCCUCUGCCUGGGGUUAUGGUGGGAGUCUCUGUUGCUGCCAGGAACUCCAUGAGUCUGUAUAGAUGAUGAGAAUAAUAGUCAUCCUUUGGAGACCCGUGGGAGUCAUAAUGAAGUUUCAUAGAAGGUUCUACUAUGGUUAUCAUAGUGACGGAACUGAAUUUAUGUUGCCUAGCGAUGGAGGAGCCAGGAUUGCAGUAUGAAACUCUGCUAUCAAGAUACACUUACUCUGCUGAACAAGACAGAGAAGGCUCUGAGAGACAGUAAGAGCAAAGGAACUCCUCAACAUGGAUUCCUAGGAUGUCCAGGAACUGGUUUUGGUUCCCAGCAUCCACCUCGUCGGGCUGCCUACACCUGCCUGUAACUCCCGCUCCAGGGAUCCGCCACCCUCUUCUGGCCUCAGUGAACAUUGCACUCACGUACACAAGCUCACAUGCACACAUAAACUCAAGUUUUAAAAAUCUUUUAAGAAUAAAUGAAUGUAUUCGUU